CCCGGCACUUCCUCACAUCCUCUUAAGUGCAAUGAUUCCAUAUAUAUAACACAUCUCUCCACCUCUCUGUUAUGGACAUCGUUGUCCCACCAAUAAAAUCGAAUCAUAUACAGAAGCAAGCGAAGUUGAAGAAUGGAGACGAAUUACACCGGAUUCUAGAAGGCUAGAUAUCAUGGAGGCCUCUAAUUGUUCAUAUAAAUAUUUAUUCUGACAUGUUCUUAGCUGUGAAAAAUUGGCUUCAGCGGUGUACGGCAACUGGUGGUAAGAAGGAUCUUUUAAGUUUUAUAAGUUAGCCUAGCAUGAAUAAAAAAAUCUGUCUUUUUGUUCAACUAAAAUUUGAGAUUUUGCUUUUUGUCCACAGAGACAAAAGAGGAGAAGUUAAGGAACAAAAAGCAU
rnacentral:lncRNA from 1 species